rnacentral:rRNA from 1 species
ACUCCUACGGGAGGCAGCAGUGGGGAAUAUUGCACAAUGGGCGCAAGCCUGAUGCAGCCAUGCCGCGUGUAUGAAGAAGGCCUUCGGGUUGUAAAGUACUUUCAGCGGGGAGGAAGGCGAUAAGGUUAAUAACCUUGUUGAUUGACGUUACCCGCAGAAGAAGCACCGGCUAACUCCGUGCCAGCAGCCGCGCUAAUACGGAGGGUGCAAGCGUUAAUCGGAAUUACUGGGCGUAAAGCGCACGCAGGCGGUCUGUCAAGUCGGAUGUGAAAUCCCCGGGCUCAACCUGGGAACUGCAUUCGAAACUGGCAGGCUAGAGUCUUGUAGAGGGGGGUAGAAUUCCAGGUGUAGCGGUGAAAUGCGUAGAGAUCUGGAGGAAUACCGGUGGCGAAGGCGGCCCCCUGGACAAAGACUGACGCUCAGGUGCGAAAGCGUGGGGAGCAAACAGGAUUAGAUACCCUAGUAGUCCC